GUGCCAGCCGCCGCGGUAAUACCGGCAGUCCGAGUGAUGGCCGAUCCUAUUGGGCCUAAAGCGUCCGUAGCUGGCCGCACAAGUCCAUCGGGAAAUCCACCUGCCCAACAGGUGGACGCCCGGUGGAAACUGUGUGGCUUGGGACCGGAAGGCGCGACGGGUACGUCCGGGGUAGGAGUGAAAUCCCGUAAUCCUGGACGGACCGCCGAUGGCGAAAGCACGUCGCGAAAACGGAUCCGACAGUGAGGGACGAAAGCCAGGGUCUCGAACCGGAUUAGAAACCCCGGUA
rnacentral:rRNA from 1 species